GACGAACGCUGGCGGCGUGCCUAAUACAUGCAAGUAGAACGCUGAAGGAGGAGCUUGCUCUUCUGGAUGAGUUGCGAACGGGUGAGUAACGCGUAGGUAACCUGCCUGGUAGCGGGGGAUAACUAUUGGAAACGAUAGCUAAUACCGCAUAACAGUAGAUGUUGCAUGACAUUUACUUAAAGGGUGCAAUUGCAUCACUACCAGAUGGAGCUGCGUUGUAUUAGCUAGUUGGUGGGGUAACGGCUCACCAAGGCGACGAUACAUAGCCGACCUGAGAGGGUGAUCGGCCACACUGGGACUGAGACACGGCCCAGACUCCUACGGGAGGCAGCAGUAGGGAAUCUUCGGCAAUGGACGGAAGUCUGACCGAGCAACGCCGCGUGAGUGAAGAAGGUUUUCGGAUCGUAAAGCUCUGUUGUAAGAGAAGAACGAGUGUGAGAGUGGAAAGUUCACACUGUGACGGUAUCUUACCAGAAAGGGACGGCUAACUACGUG
rnacentral:rRNA from 1 species